CCCUUAGAUGUUCUGGGCCGCACGCGCGCUACACUGAUGAACGCAACGAGACCACCUGUACCGAAAGGCAUGGGUAAACUUGUGAAAGUUCAUCGUGAUGGGGAUAGAUUAUUGCAAUUAUUAAUCUUCAACGAGGAAUUCCUAGUAAGCGCGAGUCAUCAGCUCGCGUUGAUUACGUCCCUGCCCUUUGUACACACCGCCCGUCGCACCUACCGAUUGAAUGGUCCGGUGAAGCCUCCGGAUUGGCGCGCACCUCGGUGCCGCCGAGAAGUUGGCUAAACCUUACCAUUUAGAGGAAGGUGAAGUCGUAACA
rnacentral:rRNA from 1 species